CCAUUUUUUUCCCAUUUUUUCUGUAUUUUUUGCCAUUUUUUUAAUGUAAAACCGAGAAUAAAUGGAUUUUUUUUCUGUGUGUUUGGGAAAGGUCAAUCCCAGGCCGGGGAGGGCGCGGGGUUUCAAUUAUUGAUUUUUUUUUUUUUUGUUUUUUUUCUCCUCCGCAGGAUUCCUGCCCUGGGUUUGUUCCCCUCCCCCCUUUCCACAGACUUUACAAAAAUCUGAUUAUUUCCCUUUAUUUUGCUUUUUUCACUUAUUUCUUCUCCUUUUUUUAAUCGCUUAUUUCUUUAUUUCUUCCAGUUUUUAUUCUUUCCUUCUCUUGUUUUUCCCCUAUUUUUUCCUUUAUUCUUUCCUUUUUUCCUCUUAUUUUUCUCUAUUUUCCCCUUAUUUUUUCCCCUAUUUUUCCUUUAUUUUUUCCUUAUUUUCUCCUUUAUUUUUCCUUUAUUUUUUCCUCUAUUUUUCCUUUAUUUUUUCCCUAAUUUUUCUCUAUUUUUCCUCUUUUUUUCCCCUAUUUUUCCGCUUUUUUCCCAUUUUUUCCUUUAUUCCCCUCUUUUAUUUCUGGAGGAAAAUCAAUCUUUUAAAUCAAACCCAUUUGGGGUUUUAUUUCUUGGGAUUAAAUUUAUUUAUUGUAUUGGGAUUUUAUCUAUUUCUUGGGGUUUAAUUUAUUUAUCGGAUUUUAUGUAUUGGGAUCUUAUUAAUUGGGAUUUUAUUUAUUGGGGUUUAUUCAUUUAUUGGGAUUUUUUUAAUUGGGAUUUUAUUUAUUGGGGUUUUUCACCACGUCCCUUCCUCGCCCUUAGGGUGGAUUUUUCCCUUUUUUUUUUACCUAUUUUUUUCCUUAUUUUUUCCUUAUUUUUUCCUUAUUUUUUCCUUAUUUCCCCCCUUUUUUUUCCCCUUUUCCUGGUGACUUUUAUGCUCCUCACACCCCAUUUUAUUCCUAUUUUUAAUUCCCUCCAAACCUCAAAAUUCUGGGGUGAAAAACGCCAGGAAAGGAGGCAAAAAAAGGGGGAAAAAAGAGGAAAAAAUAAAGAAAAAAAAAAGGGAAAAAAACCCCGAUUUCCCCGGGUUUUGUUGCCGCCGGAGCGGAGUCGUAAAGAGAAUUUUAUGAGCAAACAAUGAGCGUUUAUUGGAACCACAUGAUUACAGAAAUGGGAGCUUUAAAGUUGCUUUUUAUGAGGUUUUUUUUUUGCCGUUUCUCACCCAAAUUUCGCUUCUCCCUCCCCCUCCUCGCUCCAGGCCGGGAUUCCCAAAAAAAACAACAAAAAACCCAAAAAAAAACCCCAAAAAAUCGAAUUUUUCGCGUUUUUUUGGCGUUUUCUGGCGGCUGGAGGGGUUGGGGAACAUUUUUGGGAUGUCGGGUUUGAUUGAUUCCCUUGGAAAUUGGGUUUUUCCUGCUUUUUUCUCGGGUUGUUUUUGGGCUGGAAAGCAGAGGGAAUUAAUUUGGUGUAAUGUGGAUUUAUUGGGAAGGCGGUCAUUGACAGAAUCGCAGGAAAUCGCGGGUUUUGCGCCCAUUAAUCGGGGCGGGAAAAUGGAAUUAAAUUAAAUCAAACCGGAGCGGGCGCCGGGAAAAUUAAAUUGGAGGCAAAAAUAAAAGAAUUAAGGGGGAGAAAAUCGAAUUUAAA
rnacentral:lncRNA from 1 species